GACGAACGCUGGCGGCGCGCUUAACACAUGCAAGUCGAACGGAAAGGCCUGCUUUCCCUUGUGGAUUGCGGGUACUCGAGUGGCGAACGGGUGAGUAACACGUGAGUGAUCUGCCCCCAACUUGGGUAUAAGCCUGGGAAACUGGGUCUAAUUCCCGAUAGGACUGCAGGGUGGUGCCUGUGGUGGAAAACGAUCUUCUAGUGGUUGGGGAUGAGCUCGCGGCCUAUCAGCUUGUUGGUGGGGUAAUGGCCUACCAAGGCGGCGACGGGUAGCCGGCCUGGGAGGGUGGACGGCCACAUUGGGACUGAGAUACGGCCCCGACUCCUACGGGAGGCAGGAGUGGGGAAUAUUGCACAAUGGGCGGAAGCCUGAUGCAGCGACGCCGCGUGGGGGAUGACGGCCUUGGGGUUGUAAACUCCUUUCGACCGCGAGGAAGCCACCUGGUUGGAAGGGUGGUGACGGUAGUGGUAGAAGAAGCACCGGCUAACUACGUG
rnacentral:rRNA from 1 species